AUGGUCCUGGUCAAACCUCACCUUGUGUGAAUAGUUGUGUAUGGGUACGGUCAAACCUCAACCUUGUGUGAAUAGUUGUGUAUGGUCCUGGUCAACCUCAACCUUGUGUGAAUAGUUGUGUAUGGUACUGGUCAACCUCACCUUGUGUGAAUAGUUGUGUAUGGUACUGGUCAACCUCACCUUGUGUGAAUAGUUGUGUAUGGUACUGGUCAACCUCACCUUGUGUGAAUAGUUGUGUAUGGUCCUGGUCAUCCUGAACAGUUACCUUGGAAAUGUAGACAUAAGAAAGGUACCACAACUUUGAAACUGCAAGCCGACUACACAUGAACUAAUAACAAACCAACUUUUUGAACCCCUUUUUAUUUCACAAGACGUGUUUAUGUCGCAGACGAAA
rnacentral:lncRNA from 1 species